rnacentral:rRNA from 1 species
ACACGGAUCAAGGAGUGCAACACGCGUGCGAGUCUGUGGGUGAGUGAGACCCCCCGGCGCAAUGAGAGUGAAGGCAGACGUGUGGUCCGCCGAGGCAGGAGCCGUUCCUUCCGUUCGGCCCACUGUCGACCGAUCCGUGUCACGCUGUGGCGGGAUUCGAGUGAGAGCGUGCCUGUUGCGACCCGAAAGAUGGUGAACUAUGCCUGAAUAGGGCGAAGCCAGAGGAAACUCUGGUGGAAGCUCGCAGCGGUUCUGACGUGCAAAUCGAUCGUCAAAUUUGGGUAUAGGGGCGAAAGACUAAUCGAACCAUCUAGUAGCUGGUUCCCUCCGAAGUUUCCCUCAGGAUAGCUGGAGCCCGGAGCAGUUUUAUCAGGUAAAGCGAAUGAUUAGAGGUCUUGGGGUUGAAACAACCUCAACCUAUUCUCAAACUUUAAAUGGGUAAGAAGUCCGGCUUGCUCGGUUGAAGUCGGACGGUGGAAUGCCGGGGCUCCCAGUGGGCCAUUUUUGGUAAGCAGAACUGGCGAUGCGGGAUGAACCGAACGCCGGGUUAAGGUGCCCGAAUCGACGCUCAUCAGAUCCCAUGAAAGGUGUUGGUUGAUCUAGACAGCAGGACGGUGGCCAUGGAAGUCGGAAUCCGCUAAGGAGUGUGUAACAACU